AGCGAACGCUGGCGGCAGGCUUAACACAUGCAAGUCGAACGGGCGUAGCAAUACGUCAGUGGCAGACGGGUGAGUAACACGUGGGAACGUACCUUUUGGUUCGGAACAACACAGGGAAACUUGUGCUAAUACCGAAUAAGCCCUUACGGGGAAAGAUUUAUCGCCGAAAGAUCGGCCCGCGUCUGAUUAGCUAGUUGGUGAGGUAAUGGCUCACCAAGGCGACGAUCAGUAGCUGGUCUGAGAGGAUGAUCAGCCACACUGGGACUGAGACACGGCCCAGACUCCUACGGGAGGCAGCAGUGGGGAAUAUUGGACAAUGGGCGCAAGCCUGAUCCAGCCAUGCCGCGUGAGUGAUGAAGGCCCUAGGGUUGUAAAGCUCUUUUGUGCGGGAAGAUAAUGACGGUACCGCAAGAAUAAGCCCCGGCUAACUUCGUGCCAGCAGCCGCGGUUAAUAUAGCGUACU
rnacentral:rRNA from 1 species